CAGUCGCCACGGGAAUACGAAGGGUGCAAGCGUUACUCGGAAUUACUGGGCGUAAAGCGUGCGUAGGUGGUGGUUUAAGUCCGUUGUGAAAGCCCUGGGCUCAACCUGGGAAUUGCAGUGGAUACUGGGUCACUAGAGUGUGGUAGAGGAUAGUGGAAUUUCCGGUGUAGCAGUGAAAUGCGUAGAGAUCGGAAGGAACAUCUGUGGCGAAGGCGACUAUCUGGGCCAACACUGACACUGAGGCACGAAAGCGUGGGGAGCAAACAGGAUUAGAUACCCGAGUAGUCCCUGUCUCUUAUAC
rnacentral:rRNA from 1 species